AGCAGCCGCGGUAAUUCCAGCUCCAAUAGCGUAUAUUAAAGUUGCUGCAGUUAAAAAGCUCGUAGUUGAAUUUCGGGAUCAAUAUGUUGGUCGUGCCUCGGUACGUACUAGCUUAUUGGUUUCUCCCUUCUGACGAACCAUGAUGUCAUUUAUUUGGUGUUAUGGGAAAUCAGGACUGUUACUUUGAAAAAAUUAGAGUGUUUAAAGCAGGCUCACGCUUGAAUACAUUAGCAUGGAAUAAUGAAAUAGGACGUUUGAUUCUAUUUUGUUGGUUUCUAGGAUCGACGUAAUGAUUAAUAGGGAUAGUUGGGGGCAUUAGUAUUCAAUUGUCAGAGGUGAAAUUCUUGGAUUUAUUGAAGACUAACUACUGCGAAAGCAUUUGCCAAGGAUGUUUUCAUUAAUCAAGAACGAAAGUUAGGGGAUCGAAGACGAUCAGAUACCGUCGUAGUCUUAACCAUAAACUAUGCCGACUAGGGAUCGGAUGAUGUUAAUUUUUAAUGACUCAUUCGGCUACCG
rnacentral:rRNA from 1 species